UACGGAGGAUGCGAGCGUUAUCCGGAUUUAUUGGGUUUAAAGGGUGCGUAGGCGGACUGGAAAGUCAGCGGUAAAAUCGAGAGGCUCAACCUCUUUCCGCCGUUGAAACUGUCGGUCUUGAGUGGGGGAGAAGUAUGCGGAAUGCGUGGUGUAGCGGUGAAAUGCAUAGAUAUCACGCAGAACUCCGAUUGCGAAGGCAGCAUACCGGCGCCCGACUGACGCUGAGGCACGAAAGCGUGGGUAUCGAACAGG
rnacentral:rRNA from 1 species